rfam:Hordeum vulgare subsp. vulgare, WGS project CAJW01000000 data, contig: morex_contig_2082921
CUAAUACUCCCUCCGUCCGGAAAUACUUGUCCUAAAAAUGAAUAUAAUGAAUGUAUCUAUAACUAAAAUAAGUCUAGAUUCAUCUAUUUCUAGAACAAGUAUUUCCGGACGGAGGGAGUAAUAA